UCGACGGUAACGGAAGCAGCUUGCUGCUUCGCUGACGAGUGGCGGACGGGUGAGUAAUGUCUGGGAAACUGCCUGAUGGAGGGGGAUAACUACUGGAAACGGUGGCUAAUACCGCAUAACGUCGCAAGACCAAAGAGGGGGACCUUCGGGCCUCUUGCCAUCAGAUGUGCCCAGAUGGGAUUAGCUAGUUGGUGAGGUAACGGCUCACCAAGGCGACGAUCCCUAGCUGGUCUGAGAGGAUGACCAGCCACACUGGAACUGAGACACGGUCCAGACUCCUACGGGAGGCAGCAGUGGGGAAUAUUGCACAAUGGGCGCAAGCCUGAUGCAGCCAUGCCGCGUGUAUGAAGAAGGCCUUCGGGUUGUAAAGUACUUUCAGCGGGGAGGAAGGUGUUGUGGUUAAUAACCGCAGCAAUUGACGUUACCCGCAGAAGAAGCACCGGCUAACUCCGUGCCAGCAGCCGCGGUAAUACGGAGGGUGCAAGCGUUAAUCGGAAUUACUGGGCGUAAAGCGCACGCAGGCGGUCUGUCAAGUCGGAUGUGAAAUCCCCGGGCUCAACCUGGGAACUGCAUUCGAAACUGGCAGGCUUGAGUCUUGUAGAGGGGGGUAGAAUUCCAGGUGUAGCGGUGAAAUGCGUAGAGAUCUGGAGGAAUACCGGUGGCGAAGGCGGCCCCCUGGACAAAGACUGACGCUCANGUGCGAAAGCGUGGGGAGCAANCAGGAUUAGAUACCCUGGUAGUCCACGCCGUAAGCGAUGUCUACUUGGAGGUUGUGCCCUUGAGG
rnacentral:rRNA from 1 species